AUUGAACGCUGGCGGCAGGCCUAACACAUGCAAGUCGAACGGUAACAGGAAGACGCUUGCUUCUUUGCUGACGAGUGGCGGACGGGUGAGUAAUGUCUGGGAAACUGCCUGAUGGAGGGGGAUAACUACUGGAAACGGUAGCUAAUACCGCAUAACGUCGCAAGACCAAAGAGGGGGACCUUCGGGCCUCUUGCCAUCGGAUGUGCCCAGAUGGGAUUAGCUAGUAGGUGGGGUAACGGCUCACCUAGGCGACGAUCCCUAGCUGGUCUGAGAGGAUGACCAGCCACACUGGAACUGAGACACGGUCCAGACUCCUACGGGAGGCAGCAGUGGGGAAUAUUGCACAAUGGGCGCAAGCCUGAUGCAGCCAUGCCGCGUGUAUGAAGAAGGCCUUCAGGUUGUAAAGUACUUUCAGCGGGGAGGAAGGGAGUAAAGUUAAUACCUUUGCUCAUUGACGUUACCCGCAGAAGAAGCACCGGCUAACUCCGUG
rnacentral:rRNA from 1 species